rnacentral:tRNA from 1 species
GGGGGAUUAGCUCAGUUGGGAGAGCGCAUGACUGGCAGUCAUGAGGUCAGGAGUUCGAGCCUCCUAUUCUCCA